rnacentral:rRNA from 1 species
CCUACGGGUGGCAGCAGUGGGGAAUAUUGGAUAAUGGGGGCAACCCUGAUCCAGCCAUGCCGCGUGUGUGAAGAAGGCCCUCGGGUUGUAAAGCACUUUCAGUGAGGAAGAACGCCUGGUGGUUAAUACCCAUCAGGAAAGACAUCACUCACAGAAGAAGCACCGGCUAACUCCGUGCCAGCAGCCGCGGUAAUACGGAGGGUGCGAGCGUUAAUCGGAAUUACUGGGCGUAAAGCGCGCGUAGGUGGCUUGAUAAGCCGGUUGUGAAAGCCCCGGGCUCAACCUGGGAACGGCAUCCGGAACUGUCAAGCUAGAGUGCAGGAGAGGAAGGUAGAAUUCCCGGUGUAGCGGUGAAAUGCGUAGAGAUCGGGAGGAAUACCAGUGGCGAAGGCGGCCUUCUGGACUGACACUGACACUGAGGUGCGAAAGCGUGGGUAGCAAACAGGAUUAGAUACCCGAGUAGUC